GACGAACGCUGGCGGCGUGCUUAACACAUGCAAGUCGAACGGAAAGGCCCUGCUGUUGUGGGGUGCUCGAGUGGCGAACGGGUGAGUAACACGUGAGUAACCUGCCCUUGACUUUGGGAUAACGUCAGGAAACUGGGGCUAAUACCGGAUAGGAGCUCCUGCUGCAUGGUGGGGGUUGGAAAGUUUCGGCGGUUGGGGAUGGACUCGCGGCUUAUCAGCUUGUUGGUGGGGUAGUGGCUUACCAAGGCUUUGACGGGUAGCCGGCCUGAGAGGGUGACCGGCCACAUUGGGACUGAGAUACGGCCCAGACUCCUACGGGAGGCAGCAGUGGGGAAUAUUGCACAAUGGGCGGAAGCCUGAUGCAGCAACGCCGCGUGCGGGAUGACGGCCUUCGGGUUGUAAACCGCUUUCGCCUGUGACGAAGCGUGAGUGACGGUAAUGGAUAAAGAAGCACCGGCUAACUACGUG
rnacentral:rRNA from 1 species